AAGCGUUGUCCGGAUUUACUGGGCGUAAAGGGCGUGCAGGCGGUCUGGUAAGUGAAGGGUGAAAGCUCCCGGCUCAACUGGGAGAGGUCCUUGCAUACUGGCGGACUUGAGGGGGGUAGAGGAAAGUGGAAUUCCCGGUGUAGUGGUGAUAUGCGUAGAUAUCGGGAGGAACACCUGUGGCGAAGGCGGCUUUCUGGGCCCUACCUGACGCUGAGACGCGAAAGCGUGGGGAGCGAACCGG
rnacentral:rRNA from 1 species